rnacentral:rRNA from 1 species
UGGGGAAUAUUGCACAAUGGGCGCAAGCCUGAUGCAGCCAUGCCGCGUGUAUGAAGAAGGCCUUCGGGUUGUAAAGUACUUUCAGCGAGGAGGAAGGCGUUGUGGUUAAUAACCGCAACGAUUGACGUUACUCGCAGAAGAAGCACCGGCUAACUCCGUGCCAGCAGCCGCGGUAAUACGGAGGGUGCAAGCGUUAAUCGGAAUUACUGGGCGUAAAGCGCACGCAGGCGGUCUGUCAAGUCGGAUGUGAAAUCCCCGGGCUGAACCUGGGAACUGCAUCCGAAACUGGCAGGCUAGAGUCUUGUAGAGGGGGGUAGAAUUCCAGGUGUAGCGGUGAAAUGCGUAGAGAUCUGGAGGAAUACCGGUGGCGAAGGCGGC